rnacentral:lncRNA from 1 species
GUGAAAUGAAGGUGCCAUUUUAGAAGAAAAUGAAAUCUGUGAGGAGAAAAACAUUCUGGAGGAAGAGGUACCGAUCCUCACAGAUGAAGAGAGGAACAAACUGGGGGCCAGGCUGGUGAAGGCAGAGAUGAUGGCUAACAUGUCUCUGAUGGAGAAACUGAAGACCCAUCUGGAAUUGGCCCGUAAAGCCGAGGAGAACCACGCUGCACAUGCUGCACAGCAACCUGGGAAAUCGGACAGGUGAGCAAACAAACACUUCAUCAGAUGAUGACAACUACACCCUGGAUGACAUGUUCGUUUCGUGGCUCAGAGAGAGGGGGAGGAGCGAGAUGAGGAGGGGAUGAGGAGCAGAGCCAUAGCGGACCACAGGUGACUGGCCGUUACCAU